rnacentral:rRNA from 1 species
CGGGUGAGUAACGCGUGGGAAUAUGUCCAUGUAGUGGGGGAUAGCCCGAGGAAACUCGGAUUAAUACCGCAUACGACGGUUUGAUUAGAUUUGAACCGUGAAAGAUUGCCAAUCCUUGGAAGCAGUCACUAUUGGAGUAGCCCGCGUAAGAUUAGCUAGUAGGUGUGGUAAGAGCGCACCUAGGCAACGAUCUUUAGCUGUUCUGAGAGGAAGAUCAGCCACACUGGGACUGAGACACGGCCCAGACUCC